CCCGAGGCGCGGGUGGGCGGGGCAGAGGGGUGUAGAGGGAGUCUUGCCGGAGCUCCGCCCACCGGUUCCGCGGAGGGCUGACCUGUGCCCCCAGGGCUGUGGCUUUCGAGGACGUGACCGCGUACCUGAGCCCUUGGGAGCUGGGGCGGUAGGACCGCAAGCAGCGGGCCCUGUGCCGGGACGUGGAACGGGACAACUCUCUGGGUUUUGAGGUUGGGGCAGCCUGACCAUGGUCAGGUAGAUCAUCUGGUGCCCAGACAAGAUGAUGCCAAGAAUCAAGAUAAAUCAAGAUUAAAAAGUUGCUGAAGCUUACACUAGAGUCAACCAAUCAGAGAUGUCCAUGAGCUGUUCACAAUCCCUAGCCCCUUACCCUUAAUUUUUGCCUUUAAAAACCCAUGGUUGAAAACCAGUGGAGAAUUUGGAUUUAAAGUGAUAGCUUCCUGUUCUCCUUGCUUGGCCCUGCAGUAAAAGCCUACACUUCCUUUUUUUUUUUUUUGUCUUUAGCAUUUUAUUUCUCUUUUUUUUAUUGAAGCAUAAUUGAUUGUACAUAUUUGUGGUGUGCAAAGUUGACUGUCAAUAGUUGUGCGUAAUAUAUGAUGGUCAAAUCAGGAUAGUUAGCUUAUUCGUCAUUACAAUAUGUAGUCAUUCUUUGUGUCUAUUAACCAAUUUCUCAUUCAUUUCUCAUUAACUCCCUCUCCCUCCUCCUCUCCACUUCCAGUAACCACAGUUCUGUUCUCUCCUUCUAAGAGUUCAAAUUAUUAUUGUGAUUGUUGUUUCUUUCUCUAUUGUUUAUUUGUUUAGUUAUGAAUUCAGCUCCCACUUAUGAAUGAGGACAUGCAGUAUUUCUCUUUCUGCACCCAGGUUGUUUCAGUUAACAUAAUUUCUUCCAGACUCAUCUAUGUUGCUGCGAAUGGCAGAAUUUCAUUGUUUUUUAUGGCUGAGUAGUAUUCCAUUGCAUAUAUAUACCACAUUUUCCUUAUCCAGUUGUCUGUCGAUGAACAUUUAGGUAGCCUGCACUUUCUUCCCUGCAAAUUGUGGCUUGGCUGUGCAUCAGGUGGUAACACUCACACUCUUCUCUCUCUCUCUUUCUACUUCUCCAGUUGUUUCUUUUCUGUCUUCUUCACCAACUUCUCUUUUUUUUCACCUAACCAUUCAGUCUUGGCAUCCCAUCAGGGCUCUGGCCCAGGGGUCCUUUUCUCACUGUGUUCCCGCCACUGCUCCAAUGACACCUGCCUCUUGCUAUUCACACCCUGUGUAAUCCUCUCCCUUUUAAGGAGUCAGGAAUUCAUGAAGGGUGUCACUUCUGAGAUCGGUUGUAAAAAGACUGUGGCUUCCAUCUUGGGGGUCCUCUUCUGCUCUCUCGCUUGCUCAUCCUGGGAGAGCCAGUUGCCAAGUCUGAGGUGGCUCUGUGAAGAGGGCCAUGAGAUGAGGGGCCAAGGCCAGCCAACAUGGACCUCCCCCAUGAGUCAAGCCUUAAGAUGAGACUACAGCUGUAGUCAACAGCUCAACUACAACUCCUGAACUUGAGUUAGAGGCACCCAGCUAUGUGGCGUUAGGUGUCAGGUGCAGAGACCAUGAGAUAAUAAGUGUUUGUCUUAAGCUGCAAAGUUUGGGGGCAGUUUGUUAUACAGCAAUUGAUAACUGAUACACCUUGCUAGGUGGUUUCAUAGCUUCUGUGGUCUCAAUAACCAUCUCAGUGCCAGCACUCCUGUAUUUAUAUUUUGCUUCUGUAUUUAUAUAGUUGCUCUUCAACUCUUGUCUAUGUGACAUUUCUACCUGGAUGUCUUAUAAAUGCCUUAGAGUCUUUAUGUUCAAAAUUAAACUCACCCAGCUACUUAAACAUAAGUGCCAUGAGAGUGGGCUUUAUUGAGUCACUUCCAUAUUUCUAGUGCCUGGCACAUAGUAAGUCCUCAGUAAAUGUUGACAGAAUGAAUCUUCCACAUCAAACCUGUGUC